GCGGGUGUCGUAUAACGGCUAUUACCCAGCCCUUCCAAGGCUGUGAUGAGGGUUCAAUUCCCUUCACCCGCU
rnacentral:tRNA from 1 species